AUUGAACGCUGGCGGCAGGCCUAACACAUGCAAGUCGAGCGAGCGGCGGACGGGUGAGUAAUUUCUGGGGAUCUGCCCGAUCGAGGGGGAUAACUUCUGGCAACGUUGGCUAAUACCGCAUACUAUCGUAUGACCCCCUCUGGGAUUAGCUAGUAGGUGGGGUAACGGCUCACCUAGGCGACGAUCUCUAGCUGGUCUGAGAGGAUGACCAGCCACACGGGGACUGAGACACGGUCCAGACUCCUACGGGAGGCAGCAGUGGGGAAUAUUGCACAAUGGGCGCAAGCCUGAUGCAGCCAUGCCGCGUGUAUGAAGAAGGCCUUAGGGUUGUAAAGUACUUUCAGCGGGGAGGCGUUACCCGCAGAAGAAGCACCGGCUAACUCCGUGCCAGCAGCCGCGGUAAUUG
rnacentral:rRNA from 1 species